AUUGAACGCUGGCGGCAUGCCUUACACAUGCAAGUCGAACGGUAACAGGUCUUCGGAUGCUGACGAGUGGCGAACGGGUGAGUAAUGCAUCGGAACGUGCCCAGUAGUGGGGGAUAGCCCGGCGAAAGCCGGAUUAAUACCGCAUACGACCUGAGGGUGAAAGGGGGGGAUCGCAAGACCUCUCGCUAUUGGAGCGGCCGAUGUCAGAUUAGCUAGUUGGGGGGGUAAAGGCCUACCAAGGCAACGAUCUGUAGUUGGUCUGAGAGGACGACCAGCCACACUGGGACUGAGACACGGCCCAGACUCCUACGGGGGGCAGCAGUGGGGAAUUUUGGACAAUGGGAGAAACCCUGAUCCAGCCAUGCCGCGUGUCUGAAGAAGGCCUUCGGGUUGUAAAGGACUUUUGUCCGGGAGCAAAUACGCAGUGCUAAUAACGCUGCGGGCUGAGAGUACCGGAAGAAUAAGCACCGGCUAACUACGUGCCAGCAGCCGCCGUAAAAC
rnacentral:rRNA from 1 species